AUUGAACGCUAGCGGGAUGCUUUACACAUGCAAGUCGAACGAGUGGCGGACGGGUGAGUAAUAUAGCGAAACGUGCCCAGUAGCGGGGGAUAACUACUCGAAAGAGUGGCUACUACCGCAUACUAUUGUAGCGGGCUAUAUCGGCUUCGCUAGUUGGGGGGGUAAAGGCUCACAAAGGCAACGACCCGUAGCUGGUUUGAGAGGAAGACCAGCCACACUGGGACUGAGACACGGCCCAGACUCCUACGGGAGGCAGCAGUGGGGAAUUUUGGACAAUGGGGGAAACCCUGAUCCAGCCAUCCCGCGUGUAUGAGAAGGCCUUCGGGUUGUAAAGUACUUUUGGCAGAGAAGCGGUAUCUGCAGAAUAAGCACCGGCUAACUACGUGCCAGCAGCCGCGGUAAUUC
rnacentral:rRNA from 1 species